rnacentral:misc_RNA from 1 species
ACUAACACUCAGAGUGCUGAAAAUGACGUCGAGUGGACACGGUUUUAGUACUUUCUUAAUAUUCCAUUUUUUGCGUUGUACAUUAACAACUGGAUCGGUUUGCUCAGGAGAAGGAGAACCAUUGAAAUGCUGUGUAAACCAUUAUGAAGUAGACGAAAAGUGUUUAGAAUGUCCUAACGGGUGGUUUGGACACAACUGUUCAGUUCUAUGCUCCGAAGGCUUUUAUGGCAGAUUCUGUAGCAAUGCUUGCAACUGCAGCUCUGAACAUGAGUGACCACGUAAAUGGAUGCAUACUUUUAUCUACUGGAGCUUCCCAUUUGAUGUUAUUACCCCUGUAACUGGACGGAAGAAAAUAGAAGCAUAUUCCAUUCAAAGAUUAAGCAAAUUAAAUGAACCUAAGGACAUCAGUGAUGAAUUACAAUACGCUGAAAUAGUUAGAGAUGGAACUAAAUCGAAAUACGAUACCGAGCAAAGCUCUUUAAAACCUAAGAAGAACUACUGCGACCAGAAUUCAUCUGAGCCCAAAUCUAAUGGCAACAUUUACAGUACACAAAUUUUACCUGAUGCAGAUUAUGAUAAAUUACAGUUUCAUCCCCAAAAUGAUGUCGUUCUUCAUAACGAAUUAGAUUUGUAUGAUGUCACCGUCCAUAAAUCAUAGUAGAUGUUUUGCAACAUUAACUAUUUAUAUGCAUGUCUAUUCAAAUACUUGUAGGGUACUAGAAUUAUAUUGCAUUCAUAUGCAGAUAUUUUAUUUAUUUGAUUCCCUGAUUAGUAACGGGUACCUUGUAGAAAAGUUCAAAUACAACGAACUAUGGGCAAAUAAUAUCAAUUUAACGUUCAAAAUUAAACCUAAUAAAUGUACCACAGCCCAUAAUAAUGUUUUAGAUACUCGAAAUGAGUCCGUCAUACGCUGUUGAUGGGAAUUUAUUCUGUUAAACAUCAAUAAGCAGAUCAUCAGUCAAACAUCUAAAAUCUACUAUGAAACGAGAAUUCAUUAAAAUACAUAGCGCAUUUCAAUGUUUGAAUUGAAGUUUCUUAAAGUUACUCUUAAACAAAAUGAAAUUAAGUUCAUAUGAUACAUGUACUUUGCAAAUAAUUUGGUUCAAGUAUAUGACGUCAAUGUCUUUUGUUGUUUUAUAAGUAAAGCUGAUUAUAUAUGUACAGUUUGAUACGAAUCAUGUAUGAAUAUUUAAAAAUGUUAAUUGUUCAGAUUUUAAUUUGCAAUAUUAAUAAAGUUAUGUUUCGAUUCAAAACUUGAAAUGUCAAUAAGAUAUUUUGAAAGAUCAUUUUAGUGCUCAUUCUCUCUAGUUGUGUUUAACAUAUGCAGCCACAUGCAAAUAAAGGUAUGUAAGUU